rnacentral:rRNA from 1 species
GAUCACCAGUGAGUGGCGGACGGGGUGAGUAACAACCGUAGGUUAAACCCUGCCCCGGGAGCGGGGGAUUAACAUUUUGGAAACAGAUAGCUAAUACCGCAUAACAACAAAAGCCACAUGGCUUUUGUUUGAAAGAUGGCUUUGGCUAUCACUCUGGGAUGGACCUGCGGUGCAUUAGCUAGUUGGUAAGGUAACGGCUUACCAAGGCGAUGAUGCAUAGCCGAGUUGAGAGACUGGUCGGCCACAAUGGAACUGAGACACGGUCCAUACUCCUACGGGAGGCAGCAGUAGGGAAUCUUCCACAAUGGGCGCAAGCCUGAUGGAGCAACACCGCGUGAGUGAAGAAGGGUUUCGGCUCGUAAAGCUCUGUUGUUGGAGAAGAACGUGCGUGAGAGUAACUGUUCACGCAGUGACGGUAUCCAACCAGAAAGUCACGGCUAACUACGUGCCAGCAGCCGCGGUAA